rnacentral:rRNA from 1 species
GACGAACGCUGGCGGCGUGCUUAACACAUGCAAGUCGAACGGAAAGGCCCUGCUUUUGUGGGGUUCUCGCGUGGCGCACGGGUGUGUAACACGUGAGUCUCCUUCCCUUUACUUUGGGAUAUCUUCAGGCAACUGCUGCUAAUACCGGAUAGGUGCUCCUGCUGCUUGGUGGGGUUUGGACCGUUUCGGCGGUUGGGGAUGGACUCGCGGCUUAUCAGCUUGUUGGUGGGGUAGUGGCUUACCCAGGCUUUGACGGAUAGCCGGCCUGGGAGGGGUAACGGCGACAAGGGGACUGAGGGAGGGCGCAGAGGGGAACGGGAGGCAGCGGGGGGAAAUAUUGCACAAUGGGGGGAAGCGUGAGGAAGAAGCGCCGCGAGCGGGAAGACGGCCUAGUGGUGGGAAACGGCAUUAGCCUGUGACGAAGCGUGAGUGACGGUAAUAGGUAAAGAAGCACCGGCUAACUACGUG